GCUUCCAGGGCCAGUCCUGCCUGCCCCGGAGGUCCCCCUGGGCCUGCGCACCUUCCUUGACUGUGGAGUCCAUGGGGCACCUCCCUUAUAUGGUCAGAUAUUUAUGUCUCCCCACUUCUGAAGGGAGCCUUCCCAGCAUGCCUAGUUCAGCAUCCAGUCCUCACGGCCAGCCUCUGAGUCCAAAUUUCUCACCGUGUAUCUCAAGGCAUCGGAAUCACAUGGAACAGGGAGGUGCCGGCGGCUGUCUCACAUGCCGAAGUUCAGGGCUGCCUCUCCAGUAGUGAUGUGGAGAAGCUCAGUCCCUGGGGAAUCUGUGCAGCAGGUCUGUGCCGUCUGCAUCCAGACGUUUAGAUGGAAGAAAACAAGCUUCUAGCUUAUUUAAGCCAUUAAAAACAAAACAAAACUCCAGGUCCAGGCUGCAUCCCAAAUCAAUGAAAUCAGAAUUUCGGGGGGGUUAGACCCUAGGAUCAGUAUAUUGAUACCCUGGGAUCAGUAUUUUGAAAAUCCCCUGGUGA
rnacentral:lncRNA from 1 species